rnacentral:rRNA from 1 species
UGGGGAAUUGUUCGCAAUGGGCGCAAGCCUGACGACGCAACGCCGCGUGGAGGAUGAAGAUUUUCGGAUCGUAAACUCCUGUCGAAUGGGACGAAUAGAUUGUGGGUUAACAGCCCGUGAUCCUGACGGUACCGUUAAAGGAAACACCGGCUAACUCCGUGCCAGCAGCCGCGGUAAUACAGAGGUCUCAAGCGUUGUUCGGAUUCAUUGGGCGUAAAGGGUGCGUAGGCGGCGCGGUAAGUCGGGUGUGAAAUCUCGGAGCUUAACUCCGAAACUGCAUUCGAUACUGCUGUGCUUGAGGACUGGAGAGGAGACUGGAAUUUACGGUGUAGCGGUGAAAUGCGUAGAUAUCGUAAGGAAGACCAGUGGCGAAGGCGGGUCUCUGGACAGUUCCUGACGCUGAGGCACGAAGGUCAGGGGAGCAAA